rnacentral:misc_RNA from 1 species
AUGUGACUGAGUCAAACAUGAAGAAAUUCUGUGUUCAUUAGUAUGCUUGCCUAUUUUUUGGACUUCUACGAUUUAAUCACACUACUUAGAGACAAUCUAAAUUAUUUGAUGGAUAUCUAGGAAGCAAUCCCUUUGGCUUUUUGUGAAUAAAAUGGAAAAAUAUGAAUUUGUGAGCUUUCAAAAUAUUCAUUGAAUUGGAGAAAAAUGGUUACACUCAUAAUUUUUUGGAAAGGAUCAUUUAGCUGCGUUUUUUUACUUUUGUAAAAGUUGUCAGCAAAAAUAUUUGAAGUGUGCAUUUCUAGCAUACAUGGGUGACACUGAUACCCCUUAGGCAUCUUUUAACAGUAGUUUUGUGUCUAUUUAUAAUUAAAAGGGAAAGCAGUACAAGAAACAGGCAUCCAAAUAAUUUGAACAGACAGAGGAAG